rnacentral:rRNA from 1 species
GGGGUACUCGAGUGGCGAACGGGUGAGUAACACGUGGGUGAUCUGCCCUGCACUUCGGGAUAAGCCUGGGAAACUGGGUCUAAUACCGGAUAGGAGCCAUUUUUAGUGUGAUGGUUGGAAAGUUUUUCGGUGUAGGAUGAGCUCGCGGCCUAUCAGCUUGUUGGUGGGGUAAUGGCCUACCAAGGCGGCGACGGGUAGCCGGCCUGAGAGGGUGGACGGCCACAUUGGGACUGAGAUACGGCCCAG